rnacentral:rRNA from 1 species
AGUGAACGCUGGCGGUAGGCCUAACACAUGCAAGUCGAACGGCAGCACAGUAAGAGCUUGCUCUUACGGGUGGCGAGUGGCGGACGGGUGAGGAAUACAUCGGAAUCUACUUUUUCGUGGGGGAUAACGUAGGGAAACUUACGCUAAUACCGCAUACGACCUACGGGUGAAAGCAGGGGAUCUUCGGACCUUGCGCGAUUGAAUGAGCCGAUGUCGGACUAGCUAGUUGGCGAGGUAAAGGCCCACCAAGGCGACGAUCCGUAGCUGGUCUGAGAGGAUGAUCAGCCACACUGGAACUGAGACACGGUCCAGACUCCUACGGGAGGCAGCAGUGGGGAAUAUUGGACAAUGGGCGCAAGCCUGAUCCAGCCAUACCGCGUGGGUGAAGAAGGCCUUCGGGUUGUAAAGCCCUUUUGUUGGGAAAGAAAAGCAGCAGGUUAAUACCCCGCUGUUCUGACGGUACCCAAAGAAUAAGCACCGGCUAACUUCGUG